GUACUGUGAAGCAUCCUGUUAAGUCAGGCAACGAGCGAGACCCACGUCCACAGUUGCCAGCAUACCCUCCGGGGUGGAUGGGUACACUGUGGAGACCGCCGCUGCUAAAGCGGAGGAAGGAGUGGGCAACGGUAGGUCAGUAUGCCCCGAAUCUCCCGGGCUACACGCGGGCUACAAUGGUUGGUACAAUGGGCAUCUACCCCGAAAGGGGAAGGAAAUCUCUUAAAGCCAAUCGUAGUUCGGAUUGAGGGCUGCAACUCGCCCUCAUGAAGCUGGAAUCCGUAGUAAUCGCGUUUCAACAGAACGCGGUGAAUACGUCCCUGCUCCUU
rnacentral:rRNA from 1 species